rnacentral:rRNA from 1 species
CCUACGGGUGGCAGCAGUGGGGGAUAUUGCACAAUGGGGGAAACCCUGAUGCAGCGACGCCGCGUGUGGGAAGACGGUCCUCUGGAUUGUAAACCACUGUCCCCAGGGACGAAGAUGACGGUACCUGGGGAGGAAGCUCCGGCUAACUACGUGCCAGCAGCCGCGGUAAUACGUAGGGAGCGAGCGUUGUCCGGAAUUACUGGGUGUAAAGGGAGCGUAGGCGGGACUGCAAGUUGGGUGUCAAAUCUACCGGCUCAACCGGUAGCCGCACUCAAAACUGCAGUUCGUGAGUGAAGUAGAGGCAGGCGGAAUUCCUAGUGUAGCGGUGAAAUGCGUAGAUAUCGCGCAGAACUCCGAUUGCGAAGGCAGCGUACCGGCGCCGGACUGACGCUGAGGCACGAAAGCGUGGGUAUCGAACAGGAUUAGAUACCCGGGUAGUC